rnacentral:rRNA from 1 species
AACGUAGGUGGCAAGCGUUAUCCGGAUUUACUGGGCGUAAAGCAUGUGCAGACGGGUUGGUAAGUGGUGUAUGAAAGCGUCCGGCUUAACCGGGCAAGCGUAGGCCAGACUGCCAGUCUUGAGAGUGGGAGAGGGAUGUGGAAUUCCGGGUGUAGUGGUGAAAUGCGUAGAGAUCCGGAGGAACACCAGUGGCGAAGGCGACUACCUGGCCUGUUCUUGACGCUGAGGCGCGAAAGCUAGGGGAGCAAACGGG